AUCUAUAGCCAUACCACCCUGAACAUCCCCGAUCUUGUCUGAUCUCGGAAGCUAAGCAGGGUCAGGCCUGGUUUACUUGGAUGGGAGAAGGCACGUGGAAAGCUGAUAGGCAGAAUGGCUU
rnacentral:rRNA from 1 species